CUACUAACAUUGAGUCCAAAACCACCCUACAAACAUCUAUACCCCUAAGGUGACGCAGGGAUCCUUGCGCACUUUAGAUAGGUGUUUACUAACAUUCCUUCCGCUCCCCAAAGGAUAGCUUAGACCCGGCAAGGACCCCCUUAUGCCCUGGGCUGUAUUACACACUCAUCAAAAGAUGAAGACAUGGUAUCUCCCGUGUUGGAUUAUUGUUCCGGAUGAGGGUCUAACACAACCAGACCAAACAGUGGGAUAAGCGUUGUGGAGCCAUCCCCCAGAUCGAAAGUCCGUAAACCCACGAUGUUUUGUAAGGCAACGAUGUUUUUCGAUCAGUUCGAUGAACUGGUAUGCAGUCCGUGAGAGAGAAUGAGAAAGAAUGAUUUUGUUUUUGAUCGAAACUUCGGUGGUCAUUCUGUCUCUUUUUUGUGUGGUUGUGAAUUUUCGGGUGGAACUGUCAAACGAGUUUUUUUGGUUAGCAAACACGUUUUUUUUUUUUGCUUUUUCUGGUAAGUUUGGCAAAGGAAUGUUUCAAUUCCAAUCGAAAAAUCAAUGUUUUCUGUGUCCGUUUCAGUAUUCCGGAGAAAACGGUAGGAAAAGACCGGAACUGACCCAGGAUCCGAUCGCCUACAGAGGCCACCGACUGCAGGACGAAGUGCGGAUUUCUCCUGGUGCUUUCGGAUCAAGAACUUUGUCAAAGUCACGGCCGGAACCGGGGGCGGAAUCUGACGACUCGAACCUGAUCUAAGCGUUCUAAUGCAGCAGGGACUCCGAGCAAGAUACCGACUUUGACAUAAACACCACGGUUCCAGCCGGGUGCACACCAACGACGGCAUGACAAGAGAUUGAGGUGACAGGGAACCGGAAUGCGGAAUUGAGGCACGAAGCAGCGAAGAAAGUAGCUUUUCUAUGGCUUCCGGAGCAACAGGAUGCUGGUUCCGGAGGAACUGGACACAGGAAACGUGACUCAGCUGUUGGGACAGCGUUGACAUCGAGAGCAGCUUGAAUCGACAAAUGUUGUUAUGAUCGAAGGUGGCGGCAGGACGCCCUACCAGAACAGUUUACCGGGGUAGAGAAGCGUCCAGGUGACUAAUGGCGGUCCAGCAGACUGACAAUCUAAAAGCGUUAACCAGCGGUAAAUGAUAAAUUAUUGAUCUUUUAUGAUAUGAUCACAUUUGCCUAUUUUUGCUAACCUUUUCUUUCACAGAAUUGUCCAGUUUCGGAAUUCCUGUUCAUGCAUUCCGGCUUGUGUGGGAUGGAUUUGGCCUAGUACAACCCGCUCGAUACUUCGUUCCUGAUCACCUGGACCACCUGGGAGGUGACCGAAAGGCAGCCGGAGGCAGAACUCAGUGCUGCAGGAGAAAAGAAUAAAACAAAAGUCGGCUCUUAAUUAGUGUUCGGUCGCUUGAUCCGGCCAAUCCGCUGAACACGAAAGCGCAGAAACUUUUGGUGCAGCCAGAUCAACACCGCAAGCAAAUAGAAAUAAAACGACUCUCCAAUCUACUACGUAGAUCGAACGACCAGGGAUGGGACGUCAAAAGUGACCGCAAAAAAAAGUCCCGCUCGAAACUGACCCCACGAGUAGUUCAAAAAAUGAUCAGGGAGUGGAUCUCAACUCGGAACCGUCGCGACGCGUCAGUCGCUCAGGAAAAUGUUGAGGCUGCCCAGCUUUGAGGUUCCGGCGAGGAUCGCCAAACGUCGUAUAGAAUAGUCAAGAAUGAUAAGAAGACACGAGCAAUGCUGAGCCUUAGGCGUUCCGGAAGCCGACCUGGACAUCCACAAAAAGCGCAAUCGCUCCAGUUUGAACUCGCCGCAAGGCAAGGCGGCGGAGGCCAAUACGAGCUAGUAGCAAACCUGCAAGUCUGUGUUCUGAAGCGCACAAAACCUGUAACAGUGCGUAACCUGUCGACCUUGCCCGCGCGCCGGUGUAAAGUGGACACACUUCCGGAACAGUUCACCGGUGUCGAAAAGCGUCCGGUUGACUGAUGGCUGUGACCGGACCAGCGGGCAGGGAAGUCGCAAGUCUUGGCCAGCGGUAAAUAAUUAAUUGAUUGAUCUUUGAUAAUACGAUCACAUUGCUUAGUUUUCUCUACCAUUUUAUUUCACAGUUUUUUUUCGUUGUGGCCCGGUUUAAUCUGGAAAUAGUUCGCUGGAUGAUCUUGUACAUGUCCUGAAGUUGUCGAUCAACUAGAAUCUGCCGGCUGCGAAAUGUUCCAGUGUGGCCAACCUGUAGAAAACGACAAAGUUUCGUUUGGAGCGGUCAGUUGAACGCAAAAAGUUAUUCCGCAAAAGUGACCGGUACCUUCGACGCUUAAGAAAUGGUCACUGGGACCAAGACCGAGAACGAUGAUUGGAUUGGACGGCGGAACAACAACGAACCGGGCACUGAUGUGCGAUUGGAUCGUAGGUGGCACAGCGUAGGACCAGUCGAUAGCAGAGGAAUCGGUAUGGUCCACGAUAGUGGCGAGAUGGACACAAGCAAUGCGUCGGCCACAAGGAGACCGGAAGCUGAUCCGGCUAGCGUGAGCAUGCGCAAGAUGAACGAUCCAUGCGGCCGACUCUAGUAGCGUCCCAGGAUGUCAGCGAAUCCGUUGAGAUGACUCCAAACACCAAACAAGCAGGUAGCGGCCAAUAUGAGCUAGCAGUAGCCAAGCGAGUCAGUGUUCGGUAUAAACGGUCCAAACAAGAACCAAGCGGUCCAAGGCCCUCAACAGCAGCAAGCUCUGUUACCGCCCCAGGCCCGUGCGCUGAUGUCACAGUCCAUGUAUUGUGGCAGCUGAGACGCAGGUGGAAGUUCCGGAUCGCCACCGCUUCCGAGUUUCGUUUCGGCGGCAGCACGGUGGCACCAAACUAUUCGCCGACGAAGUCGGGUGGUAAAUAUCGUGACUCGUACAAAUGAGGCUGUCGCGGACAUCUUGAUCAAACGCAACUUCCAAGGUUGGCCACCCGGCUGCAGCGAAACCAGCACCGGGAUCACGACGACCAUCGGCGGAACUAUUCGUCGGCAUGGCUCUCGAUGCAUUCAGGCAUUCCGACGCCUGAACAAGCAAAUUCCAGCAUAGCCAUCAUGGAACCAGUUACCGGUGCUGAUCAAGAACGUCCGCAGUAGCUUGUCCAACUCGAAAAGAAGCUGCGCAUGCUGCAGCCGUACUCCAGCCUCCGGUUGUUCCUUACGUUGAAAAUCAACCGGUCAACCUGCUGCGAUGGAUCGACCAGGCCAUCGAAACGGUGCCUUGCAAAGUACUUCCGUUUCGCCCAAAGCGGCACCGGUCGCCUCCCGGCGCAUGGCACCUUCUACGAUAGUCGAGGAUCUGAUAAGGACAGAAGCGGUGCGUAGUAAAGGAGUGCCGGAAGCCGAUCUGUCCGACAUCUACAUUCGGCGGUUCUGAGAAGUUCGUCGUCGCGUCAUGAAAAAGGAGGAGCAGCAAGAGACAAUCCAAACCGCGGCGAAGAAGGUCGUCAAUCGUUCGCUGGCCAACACCAUGGACGACGUGUGCAAGAACAUGAUUGUCGUCGGAAAAUCUUAACGGUAUGGAGCUCGGAUAGUUUAAAUCUGGAUCGACCCCAGAACAAACCCAGAAUCGUUAUCCGCGAGAACGAUGCAAACCCGUCAGCAUCCUCAAGACGGAAAAUCCGGAACCAUCCAGAACCAAAACUGGUCCCGACAAAUCAGUACGAGACAAUCGUGCCAAAAAAUGCUCCGGAGACCCGACCAGCCACAAUCUCCACCAUCACUUGAACGCCAGCAAGCCCACAAAGAUUACUCCAACCACAGAAGAACCGGAACCCCGGCUUCAGGAAGAACCAGCCUCACCACCUGCAACGCACAAUUUCGUGCCGCUCAACGCACCUGUCUCCGUUCCAGAUACUCCUCGAUGUACAACUCGGUGGCUCAGAGAAGGAGAGGAACCACCAUGGCAUGGAAAAGAACCGAACCGGACUCCCAACUCAGACGCCACGAUACUGGUCUGAAACGUUGCCGCCCGUCCUCACCGGGACCACCUCGCAUUAGGCGCAGGAGCAGUCUGCGGAAUCGGUGUUAAUGAAGGAAAGAAAGCAUCAGUUCAAGGAGGACGAACACGACGGAACACUCGAGCGUUCACUGGCAGGAUCUACUGCGAUAAGGUGGACGAAAACUCAAUUUCUGCAACGAUCUCGAGCUGGUCUGCACCCAAUCCGAACCGCCAACGCCAGCGCCACAAAUCAGUGGGGGAACUCUAGCAGCAACAGCUUUUGCAGUGCUCCAAGCCCGGCGGCAACCAGUU